AUUGCUUCUCGGCCUUCUGGCUAAGAUCAAGUGUAAUAAUAAUAAUAAUAGUUAUUAUUAGAAUCUAGGAGCAUAUUUGGCAUAUUCUCAUAUCCUCUACACAUUGUGGUGGUCAUGUCCAUCUACUUUUGAAAAAGAAUUUAUU
rnacentral:snRNA from 1 species